AGAUUCUUGCGUACCUGAGGCCCUCUGAGGGAAGAGAAGAUUACAUUGUAGAGGUCAGAAUUUUAUAAUUUUGUUUUAUGGAGCAAGCCAUUGGGAUAUUAUAAUGAUAUGUCAGCUAAGCACCUACAUGGCUCUACAAGGUCAAACAGAGUUACAAGGGGACAAUUUCAUCAGUCUCCAGCCCUUGUGAUCAUGUCCCAAAAUGACUAGUCAGG